UACGGAGGAUCCAAGCGUUAUCCGGAAUCAUUGGGUUUAAAGGGUCCGUAGGUGGAUAAUUAAGUCAGGGGUGAAAGUUUGCAGCUCAACUGUAAAAUUGCCUUUGAUAGUCUGUUAUCUGAAUUAUUGUGAAGUGGUUAGAAUAUGUAGUGUAGCGGUGAAAUGCAUAGAUAUUACAUAGAAUACCAAUUGCGAAGGCA
rnacentral:rRNA from 1 species